AAACUCUGAACAACAAACCCGGGCAGGUGGAGCUCGUUAGCCGUGGAAGGCAAUUCACCUAGGAGAGCAAACUCCGAACAACAAACCCGGGCAGGUGGAGCUCGUUAGCCGUGGAAGGCAAUUCACCUAGGAGAGCAAACUCCGAACAACAAACCCGGGCAGGUGGAGCUCGUUAGCCGUGGAAGGCAAUUCGCCUAGGAGAGCAAACUCCGAACAACAAACCCGGGCAGGUGGAGCUCGUUAGCCGUGGAAGGCAAUUCACCUAGGAGAGCAAACUCCGAACAACAAACCCGGGCAGGUGGAGCUCGUUAGCCGUGGAAGGCAAUUCACCUAGGAGAGCAAACUCCGAACAACAAACCCGGGCAGGUGGAGCUCGUUAGCCGUGGAAGGCAAUUCACCUAGGAGAGCAAACUCCGAACAACAAACCCGGGCAGGUGGAGCUCGUUAGCCGUGGAAGGCAAUUCACCUAGGAGAGCAAACUCCGAACAACAAACCCGGGCAGGUGGAGCUCGUUAGCCGUGGAAGGCAAUUCGCCUAGGAGAGCAAACUCCGAACAACAAACCCGGGCAGGUGGAGCUCGUUAGCCG